CUCUUUUUUGUGUAAGUUGACGAACUCUGGUGAAUGAAUUGCAUUUUGUUUCCUUUAAUCAUGACAGUGUACACGAGUAUUUGGCUAAUUAUUAUUGCUUAAUUUAUGUUUCCAUCAAAACAGCGAAUUUGCAUACGUCUAAUUGAUAUUUGAACUAAUGGUAUAAAGUAGUUUUGAUCUCAAAAUAUUGAGAAGACAUGGAUUCAACUAGGGAGGAGUAGAGGAAGACCAUGCAAAUGAGGGAUAUGUAAGAUAUGUGUCCUAGCACCUUUCAUAAGGAGUUUUUUUGAAGGAGAUGUUCAUAAUAAACCAAUUCUGAAAGUGACUUUUCUAGCAAGCAUCUAGCAAGGGUGACAUGGCAUGUAUCAUCACAAAUAUACAAUGACAAGUGAUGUGUAUUUGUUCUUCCAUUGUUACUUUGGGUUUAUUUUAACAUAUCUCCAUAGUGAUUUGCUACAAGUUAAUUAUUUUUGUUGUUUGUUUUUCGUGAAAGUUUUGGCGGGCUGUGAGCUGGAUGUGCUAUUAGUCAUGGUGCCGAGCUUGGAUUGAGGAGACGAAUAGAAGAAGGUCAAUGCGCUUGAGGAGGCGGCAGUAGCACACCUGUGGUCCAAAUCUAGGUGAAUUAUUGUGGCUGAUCUAGAGGCCUGUCUAGAGAACGGCAGGGCCACAACGUUCGUGCAGCGGUGGCUGUACACACCAUCCGGAGGCGAGCAACGGCUGCGCUGGCAGCCGCUUGGAAGGGAAGCGAAGGUCAUGGAGGAGGAGGCUAUGCAUGGCCGAGGAGCAGGUCGUGUGCUGCCGCAGGGACGGGAGAGCCGGCGCCGGCUCCAAGUACGCCAUCAUCCAAGUUGCACUUGGGCUUCCCUCCAGCAGGUCCACACCGUAUCUUAGGUCAUGAUCGGGUUGACAGCGGUUUGUCCACUACACUCGACCAUGUGCUCAGCUGACCUCGAUGCCCAUAUUUUCCUAGACACCAUGGCACGAGUACCAACCUCACAGGCUGAACUGAUGGAUUUUGGUAUUUUGAUCUUGCUAUGUCAAAUAGUAUGAUGUAAUCUAUGGAGCUGAAGCUAUAGCUAGAUCUUGAUCUUACUGUCAUAUCCGUGUCAAGCACAAGCCGACGCCUCUAUUUCCGGAUUGACAGCACACGAUGAGAAGAAGACAUGGUUUACCUCAGAGCUGGGGACUACAGAGGAUAGCGUCUUUGUGAAUUCAGAUAAGAAUAAUAUUGUAAGAGGGCAAGGUAUCAUGUAUACAAUCAAGCAUUGCAAAGGACUAGCUACUGCCUUGUUUAUUUUUUUAUGAUUGCCCAAAAUUUUCUUACUAGAAUUUUGAGAAGUUUGGCCAUCAGUUCUACUGCUUGGUCAUUUUAUAUAUCAUGUUGUAGUCUUUCUUUUAAUACAAGGUAAUAUUAAUACCAUCCAUGUACUUUUGUGUUUGCUGUCCAGUACAUGGUGACUAAUUUUCAUAUACAUUUUGUUUCAUAUUAUCCAUGAAUAUGAUUUUUGUGCUAAAACAAAAAUAUGGGGGACUGGUCAGCAUGCUAGGUCAGAGCAAAGCAAAAACCCGUAUAAAUGAGUCCCAAGGAGCAAAGAUCAUUAUGUAGAAUAGAAUAUUUUUGCUCCAUGAAACCUUCUGGGUUCCAUAAAUUGUGUUUUUGUGCUCAUGCUUGUGCACAUUCUAUAAAUUUGAUUCGUUGUUCAGGCAUUUGGAGUUCACAGUUAUCUAAGUUUCUCUUAUGUGUGUUUUCGAAGAAUUUGAUACUUUAGAGUCUUUCUAUUAUAUUAUCUUUGAAUCUACUUAGAAUAGAUUAGUAGUAUGAUAUAGUGAAGUAAUCUAAUUCAAUUUCCUUUUUCAUUGCAACCACUUAAUUUCAAUUGGGUCAAAAUAAAAAAGUCGAAGACAAUUUUUUUCAGCCAUAAGUAGAACACCAGAGCUAAUUGAUACACCAUUUUGAAAAUUGAUACACUGUUGCAGGGAGAGCACCGCACGCAACAGUGGUCAAGGGCUUAGUGUCUGUUGACCUCGUCCGUGGCCGGUGUUGGUCGGUGAAGGAGGCAUGCAUGAGGUGGUGCAAGGGCAUGCUGGUGACGGAAUCGUGCAUCAUGAGGCCGGGUGAGUAACGCUCGGGAACUGCCGGGAGCUCAGACUGACGCGGGAUGGGGUUGGCGCGGUGACUCAAGGAGGAUGAUGUAGUUAUGGGGGAGGGAGUGACGACGGAGGGGCUUCGAUGGCCCGACGAGACCCUACAUCAUAAUCAAGGAGGACCCUACAUCUAAAGGAAACAGAGCAGUCUAUAUCAUUAGUCUAUUACUGGAUUUCUAGAAGGAAAAAGGGAUAAAUGGUUGUUUCUGCUACUCUACAUUUGCUUUAAAAUUGGUGUACAUAUAUCAAGAAGAACUUGGUUGCAAAAGUGAUCAAACAUAAGAGAAAACACAAACACAUUGGUUUUGUAAUUAAAUGCCUAAGAUCUUAUAAUUUUGAAUUAAAUUGUUUGAUUAUACAAUCAGUUCACAUUA